AAUUGUGAUUAAGCAUCAAUUUAUAGGUAACACUACCACAACAUAUUCACUGACAUGUAAUUUUAUUUUAUUCUAAACUGAUAUAUUACAUUUUAAAUAAUUGAUAAAAUAAAUAACUUGAAAAGAAUUACAUAACUAAAUAGGAUUAAAAUGACAAAAUUUAAGGUAAAUAAUAUUAAUUUUUUUUUUUUUUGAAAAAAGGCGCAAAUAUCAGUACAUUUUGAAAGGAAAUCAGGGAUGCCCAAUGACCAAGACUUUUCACGGUCUGCCUCGUACGACUCAGGACUCACGAGUCACCAGUUCCCUCAAACCCUAUAUAUGGUGCUGUGCUGAGUGCUCUCUACAUGUACUGGACUGCAGCCUGAGACUAGAGAUUAGUGCUCAACAGUAGUCUUCCUUCUUCUGCUUGGAGAGAGAGAGAGAGAGAGCAACUUGGUGGUCAAACGAAACCCCACCACCACCACCACACCUCUUCCUUUUUUCUGCAGUUCAAGGCUAGUUCGAUAUGUGAUAAACAAAGGGUCUCGCGCUCGUUGUGGAUGUUUGAGAAAGAUCAGAAAGAGACAGCGCGUGCGUGCGUGUUUGAGAGAGAGAGAGAGAGACAGACAGCGCUUUAUUAUCCAAUUCAGCUAUUAAAUACGCACAUAUUCUUCCUCUUUGGAACUCACUUCUCCUGAAAAAUCUCCUGCGAUAGAGAGAGAGAGAAAAAAAGAGAGAGAAGAAAAUCCCACUUUCUUUUACCUUACCCUUCUUUUUUCUCUUUUGUUUUAGUGUAUGUAUUGUUGCGCUUUGCCAGAUUUGUAGAUUAGAGAUAUUCAAUCGCUUUCCCUUCUCUGACUCUCAUGAAGACAGCGACGUAUUCUCGCCCUGAAACUUCUCUUACGCAGUUUCUGCAACCCUCUUUCCCUCUCUCUCAAAUUUUUUCGUAGUUUAAUUUUUUAACCCCCUUUUCUUUUGUAGAUUAUUGUAUUCUAUUUUUCCCAUACCGUAUUACUUCUAUGAUUUAUGAUCUUUUUGCUUCUUUGUAUAGUCUUUCUUUUGUGUUUUUCGGUUCUCCAUACGAGAUUAUGAGAGUUCUGCAGCAAUGAUCACGAUUCAAGCAUUGGUUUAGGGUUAGCGAAGAAGCAAAGAAGUUCGUACCCAGAAAAGUAGCAAAGAAGCGUCAAUGGAGGUGUCGCGCAGCGUAAGGAACAUGACACUGGGACCAUGACCAAAGUAUAAGGGUGAAGAUGAGCUCAAGUCAUUACAUCAUAGCCCACAUGGAGAGGUGUUGUGUCUAUCAGUAGAGGGUACGGUCGGUGAAGUAUCAGGUUAUGGGAAAAUGAAGCAUUUUUUUUCCCUAUAAAAGAAUCGGUAAUAAUGUUAGACCCUCGUUUUAUUUUACCUGCCAAUAUAUCAUUUAAUAUUUUAGUGAUUCAGUUAAACAUGAAAAAUAAACAUUUGUCUCUCGUAUUAUUCAGUGCCAAAUGGAGCAAAUAAUGUUGCUACUUCUUCAAUUGAUCAAUAUAAGCAUUCAGAUUAUCAUAAAAUUUCAGUAUGAAUUAGACCAUAUUCUUCAAUGGAGCAAUAUAAUAGAAUUGUGUCUCCAUUUCUGCAACACCUCUACCUUGAUCUAUUAAGUAUUUGUGUUUCUAAAUUCAUUAAUGUUAUUAUUUUCUCUUUUUGUUUUAUUUUGGUUUUUGUUUCUGAUAAUUAGCCGUAAAGACCUGUUUUCCAUCUUACUUCUUAUGUUGGGAAUUAUGGCAUCUUGCAUCACGGGUUGAAAGAUUGCUUAAAAUGUGUUUAUAUUAGUGGUUUAAUGGAGCUUUCUUCAGUCCACUCAUGGGUGGGUAAAGGGUUUGGAUUAGCUGCCGACUCAUUCAUUCAAACACAGUAGGAAAGGGAGUGAAUUCUACUACUUUGGAUGUGUGAAUGAUGCGGGAGAUAAAAUUCAUCCUUUUCUUUUCUGUGCUUGGACUGAAGGGAGCUCCCUUCUACUUUUUUCUUCAUAAUCUAUACUUUUUAUUUUCUCACUUGUCUCUUAGCAGUCCUUAAUUAUUUUUGUUUUGGUAGGGCAUAUCCAAGUUGAAUUGAACUGCAUUAUCAGUUUGCUGUCAUGCAUUUAACUUUUUGUUUCCUUUCUGUCUAGUUAAAGACUUUAAUUUUUACUAGUGACUGGAAUGUUUGCUCAUCCAAUCUGUUUGUUCUUUUACAUUCUUCCAUCCCUGCAAAAAGGCAGUCGAGUCGACUGUAAUUUCUUGUUCUUUCAGUGCCAUGAUUGAUGAUGUUGUUGUUGCAGUUCAUCUGAGAGUUCAUCUGAGAGUUAUUAUACAUAUAAAGAGGACUUCAGUUUUCGUUUCAUUACCAUUAAUUUGGCUGUUUUGGUUGUUUUAUCAUUGGAGAAUGUCUGGGAUGGCCGUAAUUUGGUAAAAGAAAGUGGAAUGUAAAUUGUUUGGUUGUGUAAAUAUGGUUCUUCUAGUUCCAGUCCCAUAUCUCUCAUCCUAGACAGAGUAGGUGUGGUGUUAAAUUGGAUGUUUGGGCAUUUGGAUUUUGGAUCUGUGGAGGAUUGAGAUGUCAAUAUCAGGUACGUAAGAGAGAUUCAUUGCCCGCCAAAGCAACCCUGGACUGAUCUGGACACUGGAAAAAUGUCACAUCUUGUCAUAUGUUUGUGAGUGAAAUUAAACCUGUUUUGAAAGAUCAUCGAAACUUUCGAUUAUUAUUAUUAUUAUUGAAAGUGAUAUUUUUUGGGAAAAGUAUAAGGUAAGAAGUGGGAGCUGAUUCGUCUUUAUUCUUGGCUUAUGGCAUUAAAUAUUCCCAGGGUACUGCGUUGGCAUCAUAAACCCAAUUCUUAUCCAGUGGGGCUGAAAAUGCAGCAGUCUAAGCCAGAGGUUGGAACUUGGAGCUAUGGUUUUUAUGGAUUGUUGACAUUCGUGAGGCCCUUUUUAUUUUAUUAUUUUAUCCAAGCUAGUGUGCUUUUUGAAAAGAUUACCCUCUAGCUAGGUCAGAGAAAUGCUAAUUUUUACCCUAAUUUUGUCUUUUGUUUCUUUAUUUUUUUGCAUUGACCAUCUUAAAAAAACCCAUAAAAAUCUGAUAAAAUUUCUGGAUGAUUGAACACUA